AAAUAGCAGAGCUCACUGUGUCAUUCUGUCCUCUGACUCUCACACAAAAGACCCUGUAGGUGUCCCAUAGAUAUCCCAUAGCUCCUGUGCUGAAUCUGCCAGCAGGGAGACAUAAUAAGGCAGAUGUAUUUUUAUGCCCAUUCAGAACUUCUAUGGGAUACAGAAGUCUUGUGACUAGAGGAGCAGGGAGAACUGGAGGAACAGCUUGCUGGGGACACUUGGCCUUUAUGAAAACAGAAGACAUGAUAGAUGAGGUGGUGAACCUCCUCAUUGUGGAAGAAAUUCUGAAAAUCUAUUAAUUUUACAACUAUGCAAGUUGUACUGCAAAUGGACACAAAUAUCCUUGAUAUCAUGAGGAAGAAGUUGCAGAGUGAUUUUCUCUAUAAUUUGUUGACUUUCCUUUGUUUUGGGGCUCACUAGUCUAGAGAUUAAAGCAAAGUAAUACACAGCCAUUAUCUUUCAUGUCAGGGGAAUGGCUAAUACACUUCAACAUGGUGAGUAUAAAAUAUAGAAAUAUCUUUUGGGAGAAGAGCAAAUAACAGAGUUCCCACAUCACAGUCCUUCUCAUCAUUUUUCCCUAGGAAAAAAGCCAGGGAUUGUUCCUAUGGAGAAGUUUGAAGAAACAUUUCUGGCAUCAAACAAUUCACCUCUUAUUAAACAGUAUAUAUUGUCAGUUAUCAAAUUCUAUAAAUAACUCUAGAGCAGCCAAGUGAAAAGAUAGAUAAAACCCAAUAAAAAAGUGCAUGGAAAAUAUCUAUUUCCAAGAGUAGAUUGACCAACCUUCCAACUUCCAUUUAUGGUUUUCAAAUAAAUAAAAAUAGUUUAAAUUAA